rnacentral:rRNA from 1 species
CCUACGGGAGGCAGCAGUGGGGAAUAUUGGGCAAUGGGCGCAAGCCUGACCCAGCAACGCCGCGUGAAGGAUGAAGGCUUUCGGGUUGUAAACUUCUGUUGUCAGGGACGAAGCAAGUGACGGUACCUGACGAAUAAGCCACGGCUAACUACGUGCCAGCAGCCGCGGUAAUACGUAGGUGGCAAGCGUUAUCCGGAGUUACUGGGUGUAAAGGGCGUGUAGGCGGGACUGCAAGUCAGAUGUGAAAACCACCGGCUAAACCUGUGGCCUGCAUAUGAAACUGUAGUUCUUGAGUACAGGAGAGGUAGGCGGAAUUCCUAGUGUAGCGGUGGAAUGCGUAGAUAUUAGGAGGAACACCAGAGGCGAAGGCGGCCUGCUGGACAGCAACUGACGCUGAGGCGCGAAAGCGUGGGGAGCAAACAGGAUUAGAUACCCUUGUAGUC